rnacentral:rRNA from 1 species
CCCGGUGGUUAUAGCGAGGAGGAAACACCCGUUCCCAUCCCGAACACGGAAGUUAAGCUUCUCAGCGCCAAUGGUACUGCAGGAAUACCUGUGGGAGAGUAGGUCGCUGCCGGGU